rnacentral:rRNA from 1 species
UACGUAGGCAGCGAGCGUUGUUCGGAAUUACUGGGCGUAAAGAGUGUGUAGGCGGUGCUCUAAGUUUGUUGUGAAAUCUCCCGGCUUAACCGGGAGGGUGCGGCGAAUACUGAGAUGCUGGAGUGCCGGAGAGGUAAGCGGAAUUCCCGGUGUAGUGGUGAAAUGCGUAGAUAUCGGGAGGAACACCAGUGGCGAAGGCGGCUACCUGGCCCACUCUUGACGCUGAGGCGCGAAAGCUAGGGGAGCAAACGGG